rnacentral:rRNA from 1 species
AGAGUUUGAUCAUGGCUCAGAACGUACGCUGGCGGCACGCCUAACACAUGCAAGUCGAACGAAGUAGCAAUACUUAGUGGCAGACGGGUGAGUAACAUGUGGGUAUCUGCCCUUUGGCCUGGAAUAACACGAGGAAACUUGUGCUAAUACCGGAUAAGUCUUUACGGAGAAAGCUUUAUGCACCAUUGGAUGAGCCCGCACUUGAUUAGUUUGUUGGUAGGGUAAUGGCCUACCAAGACUGUGAUCAAUAGCUGAUUUGAGAGGAUGAUCAGCCACAUUGGGACUGAGACACGGCCCAAACUCCUACGGGAGGCAGCAGUAGGGAAUAUUGCACAAUGGAGGAAACUCUGAUGCAGCGAUGCCGCGUGAGUGAAGAAGGCCCUUGGGUUGUAAAGCUCUUUCGUCGGGGAAGAAAAUGACUGUACCCGAAUAAGAAGGUCCGGCUAACUUCGUGCCAGCAGCCGCGGUAAUAC